GUGGGGAAUAUUGGACAAUGGGCGAAAGCCUGAUCCAGCCAUGCCGCGUGUGUGAAGAAGGUCUUCGGAUUGUAAAGCACUUUAAGUUGGGAGGAAGGGCAGUAAGUUAAUACCUUGCUGUUUUGACGUUACCGACAGAAUAAGCACCGGCUAACUUCGUGCCAGCAGCCGCGGUAAUACGAAGGGUGCAAGCGUUAAUCGGAAUUACUGGGCGUAAAGCGCGCGUAGGUGGUUUUGUAAGUUGGAGGUGAAAUCCCCGGGCUCAACCUGGGAACUACCUCCAAAACUGGAUGACUAGAGUACGGUAGAGGGUAGUGGAAUUUCCUGUGUAGCGGUGAAAUGCGUAGAUAUAGGAAGGAACACCAGUGGCGAAGGCGACUACCUGGACUGAUACUGACACUGAGGUGCGAAAGCGUGGGGAGCAAACAGGAUUAGAAACCCCAGUAGUCC
rnacentral:rRNA from 1 species